UGGGGAAUAUUGCACAAUGGGCGCAAGCCUGAUGCAGCAACGCCGCGUGAGGGAUGACGGCCUUCGGGUUGUAAACCUCUUUUAGCAGGGAAGAAGCGAAAGUGACGGUACCUGCAGAAAAAGCACCGGCUAACUACGUGCCAGCAGCCGCGGUAAUACGUAGGGUGCAAGCGUUGUCCGGAAUUAUUGGGGCGUAAAGAGCUCGUAGGCGGUCUGUCGCGUCUGCUGUGAAAUCCCGAGGCUCAACCUCGGGCCUGCAGUGGGUACGGGCAGACUAGAGUGCGGUAGGGGAGAAUGGAACUCCUGGUGUAGCGGUGGAAUGCGCAGAUAUCAGGAAGAACACCGAUGGCGAAGGCAGUUCUCUGGGCCGUAACUGACGCUGAGGAGCGAAAGCGUGGGGAGCGAACAGGAUUAGAUACCCUGGUAGUCCACGCCGUAAACGUUGGGCGCUAGAUGUGGGGACCAUUCCACGGUUUCCGUGUCGCAGCUAACGCAUUAAGCGCCCCGCCUGGGGAGUACGGCCGCAAGGCUAAAACUU
rnacentral:rRNA from 1 species